AUAACCAAUCCAAGAACCCAAGGCAUCAACAUGAACCCAAUAAAGAACGUGACCGAACCACACAGCAUCAAAGCCAUCGAAAUCCCCAGCAUCAACGAUGCGAAGCCCGCCGGCGAGAUCUGGGGAGGCGCCGAUGACCUCCUCCUCGAAGAAUCAGAUGGAAUCGCCGUGGAUUGGUCAGAGAACGGGAUCGGCGAAGGUGGUGAACGAAUCAGAUUGAGAACCAGAGCCGACAGCUCGUAGAAAAUCCUUGAUUGCUGAUCUUGUUGCUGAUUUUGCUGCUGACUGCUCAUCAUUCUAAUUUCCUUUCUCGAAAACCCAAAAAAAAAGGGAGAAAAAAAAAAAAAACAACCCCAAUAUAACCAAAUAAAACUUUUUUAAAAAUCUUUUAGCCUAAUCCGCUAAGAAAAUUUUCAAAUUCAUAUUGCUAAAAUCGAGGUAAGUGGAUAAACACACAAAGUUCUAUCUACAACGCCGGUUGACUGGAGAAGAACUUAUCAAUUUAACCUUCUGCACUAGCAAAGAGUUUCUGACAAGCGAAAUUUUGUUUGUUUCUCCGGUAAUUCUUUGACAACAAUAGAGAGACAAGGUGACGCGACGUUUGUAUCUAUCGUAUUUAAAAGUAUACUAAAUUUUUUCUGGCAAAUUUUCUCGAUAGCGUUUGGAUCG
rnacentral:misc_RNA from 1 species